rnacentral:rRNA from 1 species
AUUGAACGCUGGCGGCAUGCCUUACACAUGCAAGUCGAACGGCAGCACGGGUGCUUGCACCUGGUGGCGAGUGGCGAACGGGUGAGUAAUACAUCGGAACAUGUCCUGUAGUGGGGAGUAGCCCGGCGAAAGCCGGAUUAAUACCGCAUACGAUCUACGGAUGAAAGCGGGGGACCUUCGGGCCUCGCGCUAUAGGGUUGGCCGAUGGCUGAUUAGCUAGUUGGUGGGGUAAAGGCCUACCAAGGCGACGAUCAGUAGCUGGUCUGAGAGGACGACCAGCCACACUGGGACUGAGACACGGCCCAGACUCCUACGGGAGGCAGCAGUGGGGAAUUUUGGACAAUGGGCGAAAGCCUGAUCCAGCAAUGCCGCGUGUGUGAAGAAGGCCUUCGGGUUGUAAAGCACUUUUGUCCGGAAAGAAAUCCUUGGCCCUAAUACGGUCGGGGGAUGACGGUACCGGAAGAAUAAGCACCGGCUAACUACGUG